rnacentral:lncRNA from 1 species
GUAGUGUCUAGUGUCCCAGCCAGGUGAACCUACCUCUAGAUCUAUGUAGUGUCUAGUGUCCAGCCAGGUGAACCUACCUCUAGCUCUAUUGUAGUGUCUAGUGUCCCAGCCAGGUGAACCUACCUCAAGAUCUAUGUAGUGUCUAGUGUCCCAGCCAGGUGAACCUACCUCAAGAUCUAUGUCUGUGUCUAGUGUCCCCGCCGGUGAACCUACCUCUAUAUCUAUGUAGUGUCCCAGCCAGGUGAACCUACCUCUAGAAUAUGUAGUGUCUAGUGUCCCAGCCAGGUGAACCUACCUCUAGAUCUAUGUAGUAGUGUCUAG